rnacentral:rRNA from 1 species
UACGGGGGGGGCAAGCGUUGUUCGGAAUUACUGGGCGUAAAGGGCUCGUAGGCGGCCAACUAAGUCGGACGUGAAAUCCCUCAGCUUAACUGGGGAACUGCGUCCGAUACUGGAUGGCUUGGAUUCGGGAGAGGGAUGCGGAAUUCCAGGUGUAGCGGUGAAAUGCGUAGAUAUCUGGAGGAACACCGGUGGCGAAGGCGGCAUCCUGGACCGACACUGACGCUGAGGAGCGAAAGCCAGGGGAGCAAACGGG